UGAACAACCCAUGUACAGAUAGGGAAACUGAGGCAGAGAUUGUGUAGCCACUCACAGCCGGCUGGUGGGUUGCAGAGUGAGGAUCUGAACAUGAGCAAGUUGGGCCCUGGAGCACCACGUCUCUCCCUGUGAGGUACCGCCACCUUUCCAGAACCUUCCCUGUGUCCUCCAGGGAGUUCUGGGCUGAGUGCAGUUACUCCUGCAGUCCACUGGCCACUGUUCUCUUCCCUGGCAAGUCUUAGAGUUUAGGGAGUGGAGGGGGCUUGGCAGUUUUGCUAGAUUAUAUGCUUAAGCAAUGAAACCUUUAUAACAGUUGUAAAGAAUUUGCUUUGCAAGCCAUCAGACCUUCAGUCAAAUUUAAUGAGCUAUGGAAGCUGCUUGCUGGAGUUUGGAGAACACAGGGUGAAAUGUCAAAAGAACGGGGCUAGGUCUCAACCCCCCACAGCCAGCCCACACUUCCAUGGAAGCCUCUCUACCUAAGAUGAGGUCAGGUGGGGACUUGGCCCAUCUCCCCGCUGGGGUGUGGGAUGAUCCCUGAGAUAAUCCCAGGACUGGGCUUAGAAAGAGCUGCUGUGGCAAAUACAAGUCACUGUGAAUGGCAGCCUCCGACCAAACUCACUUAGAGAACCCUCCUGGGGGCUUGGGUCACACUGUGUUGGGCGUGGGUCACACAUCAUCAAGUUCCACCAAAAUUAUCAACCCAUUGCUAUGUUUCCUGUAUUCAGAUUUUAUUCAGCCAGUUGUGUCUUUCAGGAUAAAUAUGAUAUGAGGUGCUUUUUGUUUCAUUUGAAGUUAUUCCCCGUUUAGGUCACUGGCAUUUGUUAUUAGUGGUGCUGUCAUCCAUACAUAAGAUCGUGUUGUGUCUAAACCCAACAGUGACGUGAUGCUCAGUAGCCGAGGCCACUUCGUUAGCAUCUGACAUCAGUGAAUUAGCCAUCCCGAUGCAUGACCACAAUUCCGUGACACACACAUCACUCCCGGCGAGACUCAUCCCACCAAAUUGGUAGAAAGUCCCAUUUUGCUGAUAAAACGGUAACAGGUUUGAGUACCUGAAAGAGCACAUAGAUUGAAAACAAAAAGGGAAAGCAGAACUCAUUUGGAGUCCUAAAUGCGACCCAUCCAUUCCAGGUGCUUAUGUUCUGAGUCUUCUGGGAGAGAAACAGCUAGUUCAAGUAAAACGUCAGAGCAGUGAGUCACCAACGACCUUCAUCCGAUCCUUUCAUUACCUGCAUUUACAGCGUGGAAGGACGGGACCCGAAGAAGCAGCCAAACAGCCACCCUGCUGGUGGGAUCCCUGAGGACCCCCAGUUAACCCGCCGAGUGGACUUUGCAGUGUGUGCUCAGUGGGUGGGGCAUGGAGGUGGCUCACGCUGCCUGUGAGUUGCGUUAGUUGUUUCUGGGACGGAUGCCAUAGAGACCUCCUAGCUUUUGGGGAGCUCCUUAGGCUCAGAUUUUCUUAGGUCCAAGGCUGCUCUUCUUUUGAAAAAUGUAUAAAAAGUUGAGCCCAGAUACAAAAUUGGGGAAAGAAGGAGAAAGAAAGAUCGGACACUAAAAUAGUUUCAAACUAAAAGGGACUUCCUCCCUGCACCUUCCUGGGGCCACUCCAUGUUUUGCAGUUACUCAGGGAUAUCGAUUGCUUUUUCCCUGCUUUGUGACCACACCAGCUAUAUCCUGAUACGAGAUAAUUAGACGGAUUUAAAAAGGUAAAGAGAAGUUUUGCAUCCAAUUUGCUGCAAUCUCAUAUUCUCUAGGAAGCCUCAGCUCAAACGUUUAUUAAAUGCUUGCUAUGUCUCUAGCACCGGGCAUAAUAAUCUUCAUAAUACUGGGCUUUCUCUGCAUGCCAGAAAUGGGAUGCAUUCCAUGAUUUUCUCCGAUGUAGGUACCUUUGUUAUCUUUCCCAUUUUAUAGAUGAGGAAACUGAGGGUCUCAACCCAGCUGGGUAUAGACGAGGGUCGAGAAAGGAAUCAUAUUCAUUCCUUCAACAGUGAAUGAGCAGCUACUAUUGCCAGUUCUCUAGAUGUGUCCUCAAACUGAGAGUCCUUUUCCUGUCUAUACUCCCAGCACAUAGUCAUCAAGCACUUGCUGAGCACCUACUUCAUACUGAUCCUAGGGUCCACUUCAUAGUCUCAAGAGCAUGCCUCACUCUUGGAAGGGGGCUCUUCUCUUGGAGUUUCAUGCUCUGGGGUCACUGUCUUGAAAUUCAUAGUGAUCUUCUAAGUUUGUGUCACUUCUACAUUUGAAGGGAUGAUGGGGCACGCGGCGUGGCUCUUGUACAGUUCUGCCUCCCUCAGCCUUUCUGCUUCUAAGGAUGGAGCCUCAGCUGCCCGCUCCCCUGUCUCUUCCUGCUAGGUGACCACUGCUGCCCUCCACCCCGACUAGGGUCUGAGCACAAGGGCAGGGAAGUCAGGUCAGAGUUGUGCGCCCAUGAGGGUCUGCACUCAUUCCCAUGAGCAUCCCCUGCCCAAGGGAGCGCAACAUCAAACAGCAAAUGCAAAACAUGCCACAACAGAUAGAGAGACCAUGGGAGAAAGGAACACAGGUUUUUUUUUUUUUUGUCCUUUUUGAACAAGGGGCCCUGUGUAUUUUGCACGUGGUCCCACAAGUUAUGGAGCUAUCUUGCCUAAGAAACAAUUUCCUCAAAGACUUAAGAUGGAGUUGGGGAGACCCCCACCCUGAUGUUAGAGUAUUUGGUUUAUCAUCAGACCUACAUGAUGGUCCAAUUAAAGAAGUUGUACAUGGCCAAGUGCCACAUAGACAGUUCCAGUGGGAGAGCCAGGGCCACUGUCUGCUAUCUAAAAUGUAAUCAAGACAUUGGUACAGUGCUUUGCAGUUAGUGAGAACGUUCCUCGAACUGCUCAUACAAGGCCCCUGCAGGAGGGGGCCAGACAGUCAUGGCAGACCCAAGGAAGCAAGGGGAGUUCCAAACACAAGUCCUCUGGGUCCCCCAGGCCAGGGUGCGCCUGUCCACCACACUUAGUCUACUGAGCAUGUGUUGGGGAAGAAGUGGUCAGUGACAGGGCCACCUCUCAGGUGUCAUUUUGCACCUGUGAUGGACUGUAGCCCAAUUUCUCCCAGCAGCCUACCAUGAAGGGUUCUGGAAGAGUGGGUGAACUGGACUUUGACGAGCCUGUAGAAUGCCAUGCAGGAUGGAGCAGUGACAAAGACAGCAGAAAACACGCGCAGGGACAGCCAAGAUGCAGCAGGUGUGACCGGGGAGGUGGGUGUGGGGAAUGGCUGCAUUCCAGAUGAACAACAGAAAACAAAGCCAUGACUUUGGCGGGGUCUCACAGUGGAGGAUUCAGAGGACAGUCUGAUUGCAACACAUGUUGGUGUUUCUUGGUUACCUGGAGGCCAAUAAAAGAACAGAAAUUCUGGGCCGGGUGCGGAGGCUCACGUCUGUAAUCCCAGGACUAUGGGAGGCUGAGGCAGGCGGAUCACCUGAGGUCAGGAAUUUGAGACCAGCCUGACCAACACGGAGAAACCCCAUCUCUACUAAAAAUACAAACAAUUAGCCUGGCAUGGUGGCGCAUGCCUGUAAUCCCAGCUAUUCAGGAGGCUGAGGCAGGAGAAUCACUGGAACCCGGGAGGCAGAGGUUGUGGUGAGCCGAGAUCUCACCACUGCAUUCCAGCCUGGGUGACAGAGUGAGACUCCAUCUCAAAAAAAAAAAACAAACACACACUCUCAACAGCAGUGCUUGGAGGUCAUGUAAAGUCAAGGUCCGUGUUUUCCCAACUGGGCUCUAAGGGAUUUAGGGGGAUUCCACUCACCCCUCACAGAGGAGAGAGAAAGGCUGUAGGAGACGGGCUCUAAGCCCUCCUCACCCAUGGCAUCUCUGAUUUGACCUGUUGUACAUUUCCGGCUUCCAUAUUGGAUGUUUGUGGUAUAAGGAAUUUCACAGCUGGAACAUGUUGAAAAUCCACACAGCACAACCAAGUUGUGCUGAAGAGUUGAGAACCAGAGACGGCAAAGACACCAUUUUCCCAAGCUAAGGCUCUCACACACACAGCCACAACCUCCUCACUUCACCCCAGCCACCAACGGCAGUGACGGGAACACCGAAGGGAUGACCACAAAAAUGCCCCUUGGUUCAGGAAUCUGAAUUUGUAGGAAAGCCUGACUCUUAUCUGGCAAAGAAAAAAAGGGACAGUGGUUUUCCUGAAGGUGACGAGAAACACACAGUGUAAAUCCCAUGUCCUGGGACGAAAGGUAUUUACGCAAAUCUGCCUGGGUCUCUGUUGCCAGGGAUACUACUCACUGGGCACCCGACUGGCCCCAUCAUGAAGCUUCUGACAGCAGGAAAACACCAGUCAGCCCUGUAACGAUCAGCCACAAAGUCAUCCACCAGGGCGAUUCAGGUCAUCCACCCCACCUCAAUUGUGUUUGUUAGGGACAAAUAUUUAGAAGUUUCAUGUUUGUGGGAUUAUCUCAAUGUCUUUGCAGUCUGGAGGGUGUCUUUACAGAGCUGAAUGAGUCAAGUGCCUAUUCUGAUGCCAUAGAAUCAUAUAAUUAAAAAGGUCCUUAAAAGAUGACGUCACUCCAGCUCAAUGGGUUGGGGGAUCUCCUCUGGGAGAAAUGUUUUGGAUCUAGACAGAGGGGCAUUACACAACAUUGUCAAUGUAGUAAAUGCCACUAAAUUUGCACCUGAAAAUGGUUAAUUUUUUGUUGUGUGAAUUUCAUCUCAAUUUUUAAAAAAGAUUAUAUCGUUCAGUCUUUUAUUUUGAAGAUGUGGGAACAAGUAGUGGGAGGAUGGUAUCCAAAGCCCACUCAGGGUGCAGGCAGGUCCCUAACACACCGAUCACCCUGCCCAGACUUCAACCUAAUCAUUCCCGCUUCGCUACAUGGCCUGUGCUGUCGUAAGGCAGUGAGCUCAGGGCUGAAUGUACCCAGCAGAGAAAAUUCAUAUCCUCAAAAACUCUCUCCCCAGAAGUUUUGUGAUUUUGUUUGUUCAUGUAUUUUUUCCCACAAUAAGGAAAUAAAAAUGUAUCUAGACUUACA
rnacentral:lncRNA from 10 species